rnacentral:rRNA from 1 species
AUACGGAGGAUGCGAGCGUUAUCCGGAUUUAUUGGGUUUAAAGGGAGCGUAGGUGGGAUAUUAAGUCAGCUGUGAAAGUUUGGGGCUCAACCUUAAAAUUGCAGUUGAUACUGGUUUCCUUGAGUACGGUACAGGUGGGCGGAAUUCGUGGUGUAGCGGUGAAAUGCUUAGAUAUCACGAAGAACUCCGAUCGCGAAGGCAGCGCGCCGGACCGGAACUGACACUGAUGCUCGAAAAUGCGGGUAUCAAACAGGAUUAGAUACCCUUGUAGUCCGCACAGUAAGCGAUGAAUACUCGCUGUUUGCGAUACACUGUAAGCGGCCAAGCGACAGCGUUAAGUAUUCCCCCUGGGGAGUACGCCGGCAACGGUGAAGCUCAAAUGAAUUGACGGGG